rnacentral:rRNA from 1 species
UACGUAGGGUGCAAGCGUUAAUCGGAAUUACUGGGCGUAAAGCGUGCGCAGGCGGUUUUGUAAGUCUGUCGUGAAAAUCCCCCGGGCUCAACCUGGGAAUUGCGAUGGAGACUGCAAGGCUAGAAUCUGGCAGAGGGGGGUAGAAUUCCACGUGUAGCAGUGAAAUGCGUAGAGAUGUGGAGGAACACCGAUGGCGAAGGCAGCCCCCUGGGUCAAGAUUGACGCUCAUGCACGAAAGCGUGGGGAGCAAACAGG